GUGCUUAUUUUGGCAGCACAUGUACUAGAAUUGGAAUAAUACAGAGAAGAUUAGGAUGGCCCCUGUGCAAGGGUGACAUGCAAAUUCAUGAAGCAUUCCAUAUUAAA
rnacentral:snRNA from 1 species